UGAGAGGUAUGGAAGGGAGAAAGCUCAGCUCUUAUUUGAUCCACAGUGCCAGUGCCAGGGGCCAUGUUGGUUACUUGCAGGCUGCCUUUUAUUUCUCUUCCUCACAGCUUGGCUCUCCUCUCUACUUCUUAGAAGGUAGGACAUGGUCCUCUUUGCCCCUGAGAGGAGAGACUGAGCCUGAGAACUUGUCAUUGAAGCUCUCAAAGGACAGGGCUGCAUGACAGCAGCAGGAUGGUACCUGGACAGGGAGAAGCAAGAUCUCUGGACCCUGUGUGGCUGAUGAGUGUGAGUCCUCAAGGGUUUCUCUGGCCUUUGAUACUUGGUGACUGGGUGAAAGCACACCAGGAAGAAACCCAAAGCAAUCCUCCCGGUUUUUUCACUCCCCGAGAUCUGGAGUGUAACUCUAUGGGAGCUCACACAGCUCUCCAGGAAGCUCAGUGAAACAAGCACCAGUCUUCUCAUCCCUGCUCUUAGGCCUGGACCCUUUGGUUUUUUGGGCUCAGGGGUCUCCAUGUUUCCAUAGGGAAUCUGGGACAAGGCUUUCCAGACACGACUAGCAUCUUGGGUCUCUGCAAAGACCUCUCUGUGAUCCUGUGAGUGAAUCUUCUCUCAAGCCAGAGAAAAGCAGAUGUGACAGUGCCAGUACAAGAAGAUGGAUCAGCCAUGGCCCAGCCGCUGUCUUCUUCAUGGCACUUCAAGGAGGGAGGUGACCGUUUUACUCCUUGAGCCAUCAGAAAGCCUAUGAGGAAGAAUUCAUAAACACACAGCUCCUGACUGGGAGGCAUCAUUCAUGAGACUCCUGGAUGUAGCAGGGAGCAAUCAGGACAAGGAAGACAAGCUGUACUGAGACUACUGGCUACAGAGAUAAGUAAAAAACGUCAGAUGGAUAAAGUGUGAACGAUGACACACAGCUAGCUACCUCAGGUACAGGGAGACAGAGCUCGAAGCGUGCAGAUUUGUUAAACACCCACGCCUCCCUGAACAGUACUGUGAGUACAGACAGUGGAAAGAACUAUGGGCUAUAGUUGGCUGCCUUUCUGUGCACAAUGUGACUUGCUGUGUCACCUUGAAGCCAAGCAAGUACCUCUAGGACACCAUGAAGCAACGUGAAUUACAGUGGUCCCUGUGAUGCCCACGAGGAGAUUUUAGUAUAGUGACUCCCGUGACACCCCUAAAGUCAUUAGAGCACAGUGGCCCCAUGUGCGUGGUAAGUAUUCAGAAAAAAGUGUUAUCCAUUCUGGUCAUGCACAGAUUUGUUUUUCUGGUAAGCACCAUAAUUAAUUGCUUGGCACUUAUUUUACAUUGGGUAAUAUAAGAAUUCCAGAGAUGUUAGUAUUUUAAAUGCGCAUGGGUUAUACAUGGAUACUACGCCAUUUUGUGUUAGGAACUCGACUGUCUCAGGAUUUUGGUACCCGAGCGGUAUCUCAGAGUAAGAAUACAUGGCCUCUGAGGCAUGAGUGGCUUCAUGGCUGAAACAUCCCCUUUAUUCAUCAUGUUGCUUUUGUGAUAAAAAGUGCAAUCCCAGUGUGGCACCUGCUUUGUUUCCUUUGCUCUUCACCAACUGAUUUUGGGAAUCAGAGAGUUGUGUUCAGUCUUAUCUAAUACUAUUUCUUUGGAGGCCAUUUUACUUCCUGGGAUGGUACUUGGGAUGGUGAUUCAGGAUCGACAGUUGAUCCUUGGGCCUUCCAGAUGUGGGGGUUGAAGGGUUAUGACUAAUGUUUUCUGGUUCUCCAGAUGGCUUCUAUCAGCUUGAGCAAACUUGGACUAUUUCUGGAAGACUUGGGUAAGAGGAGGACUUGGUGUCAUUUAGUAGGUGAAUGGAUAAGACCCAGUUGGCUGUGGAGUUUUCCGUCUGGAGUCUCAAAGAGAAAGGGAACUGUCACCUGAGAACAUAUGUUUCUGUCUCCUGAUGCAUUCUCCAGGGAGGGAGGCUGCUUCCAGGGGACACAUCAUGUAGUUACAGGGUGACCAGAAGAGAGGAGAAAGAGGAAGGUAAUAGCAGUGGUCCUGGAGAAAGAUGAUGGCAGUCUAGGGAGGAAGGAUGAAUGUUAGGACCCCGUGAAUGUCUAUUUCUUAGCUGGGGAUGUAACAGGUGAUGGUACGAGGUACCAGAGAGGCAACCAUGACCACAAAUAUAUCCCCUUAUCUGUUCAACUACAGAGGAUUUUGGGAAAGGUUGCUUCUUUUGGCCUCUCAUCUCUAGGGAUGAGAAGAAUCCAGCCCAACUCCUCCCAUCCCAGACCCUCCCUACCCCCGCCAAGGAAGAGCCUGUCACAGGAGAAGGAUAACACUCCCGUGUCCAAGUCUUCAUUUCACUUGCAGCUCGGCACUAAUCCAAUUGCUGCCUCUAACCUAAUUCUCCAUUGUUGCUAGAGUCCUUUGCUUUGCUGAUAUUAAAACUCUUUUCAUUUAAUUGUGCACAAGAUAGAUCCUCCUUGGCCAUCAGGUGGUAAAUAUAGAAUAGCUGAUGUGUAGCUCUAAUUUCUUCCCUGGCAGGCCUCCUGCAGCUCUGAGUAAUUGGGGACCACAAUAUUCUGAAAGGAAGGAGACAGGAAGGGAGAGCAGGAAGAGGCCUCUGCCUGACAUUAUCAGAAGGUCACAGGUAAAAGGCGUCUGCCCAUGUCUAUAGGGUCAGCUGCUUUUCCCCUGACUUUAGUAUGUCACAUGAUGACUAGAACCCUUAGAUGCACAAGAAUCUAGAAUUUCUGAAGCAAAGGUGAUUACGGGAUGUUGUUCCAUUGUCCAGAAUGUAAGGGACCAUAUUAUCCUCCCCAAGAGUUGGGUAAUAAGUCCCUCAUUCUCAUUCAAGGGUAGAUACCCCUGGUCUCUGUGCAAGGUCACCAAAGAGCCACACAAUAUCAUAGCUCUUUUAUUCUCUAAGGCCCCAAGUGAUGAUGAACUGUAAUCUUGUUUGGUAAUCACAAGGUUUCCCAGCAAGUCAAGGAAAGGGGAGAUAUCAGUGCAGAUGUCUUGAUUUCCAGGUCGGGGAGAAAGUGUAUGGAAGGUGGGACCACUGUGUGUUCCCAUAGGUAGGGAGGGACAGUACAAUGCAAGAGGCUCCAGGUGCCCUUAGCAUGCUCCGAGUUCUUUCCCAUUCACCCAGAAGAGUGGGGCUCCAGUGUCAAUCACUGAUCUAGUUUAGGAUCACAGCCCCCUGUAGAGGAAGAAGGAAGCAUCCUUGGAUGAACCACUGGUCAACAGGCAGGGACCUGCUUGGUUGUGACUACAGCUUCCUGGAUACUCGUGCCUUCCUGAUUCCCCUAGGCUCUGGAAAAUACAGCAAUCUCCUCCGUUUUCUCAAGGAGAGUGACAGCUUUCUUUGGGUCAGUUGCUAACUCCCUGAGCUUCUAGGGUCAUCCCGCAAGACCAUGGGUGAACCUGGGUUUUUAGACUGUCCAGUUUCCCACCAGAAACUUCCCUGCACUGCAGUUCACUGGGUUCUCCUAUCACCUCUGCCCUUUAAGAGCUGGUAAAAACAUUUCUCCCAGGCUGGGUCCUAGGCUACCUUUGUUCUCUCCAGCUUCACAGUGAGAUAUGGAUCUAGCAUUUGAUGAGGCUCCUUUUUCCUGAAAACCUAGGGAUCCUUGAGGGCCCUUUCCUUAAGGGCCCUGUUACCUUCGAAUCCUCAGGCAGGUUUUCCUAACCAGACUCCAGCACAGCACAUCUCAGCAAGGAUCUGCCUCUCCACUUCUCCACCUGUUGCUGACCCAGGACUCUCAGGACAAAAGGAGAAGACUCUCAGGGGUCAAGUAGCCAUAAAACCCUCUCAACUAUGGUCCUGAAGACACCAAGGUGCUUUCAAAGACUCUAUCCUGGAUUGGUCCCCACUGAUGCAUAUCUCAGAUUCUAGUGCCAAGCAUUUUAGCUUGCAGGUGAAUCACCCUCCUCGACUUUACAUUUUCAGAACCAGGAUCAGCUGGGCACAUGAUGGCUGGAAAUACUGGCCCAGAUGGUCUACUCACAAGUGUAUCAGGGCCAGACUCAUCAUAGCUCUCAGAUCCUUUCGACUCAGACAAGGAAAACUGAGGCCAGGGACCUAGUCUAGAAGGUAUAGUCACUGAGCCUCCUGCAUAACAUCCUAAGGAUCUUAAAAUUUCAGAUUCUGAUCUAGGAUCAGAUUUCUGUUACUGCAGUAGAACACUGACGGACAGUUUACAAAAACAAUGGUCAGAACCAUAGGAAUCUAACUCCAUCUCCACCCUCUACCAGCUGGGUGACCUCUCACAAGUUGCCUAACCUCUCUGGCCAUCCGUUUCCUGAUCUAAAAUAUGAGGAUUAUAGUGGUAUCUGUCUCCUGAGGUGGCCUGAGAUGCUAUAGAGAUAGCGUUUCCAAAGCCCAGCACAGCAUCUGGCAAGAGGCACAUGAUAAUUAAUUACCUCACACUUCCCCUCAAACCAGUGCAAACCAUAAUGAGCACUAGCGAUUCCAGCAACCACCAAGCAAGCAUUUAAUUUAUUGUCUUGGAAAACGGAAGGGCCCGUAUCAAGGGACUCUUUGGAUGGCGUUUGCAGAAAGAAGGAAUGCACAGAUAUCUUUUCCUCCUCCACAGAGAACCAGGAAGGGGGGGGUGCAGAUUCACUCUGUCCCUCUUCAAACUGUCUACAGGAAGCAGGGGAGGCACAAAGUUAGACCACCACUGGCUUCCCCCUGGGGGGCUUCCAAAAGUCAGGGAUGCCUUGACUUCUGUAUGCGUGAGUUUCUUGUUUUGUUUUUUUUUCCCUACUGAUUUCUACUGCAUAGGGGGAGCUUCUCAGGAAGCCUUGGCAGAGUGCUAAGCAAAGAUGUGAGUUCUUCCCAGUGAUGGGAAUAGAGGGACCUCCCUUGCCUAGCACAAAACACUAAAGGAGCAUCAGGAGCUCAGAACAGUAGCUCUCCUUGUUCAUGGAUCAUCCUAUGCUUCAAAAUAAACUUACGUAUUGGGCAUAGCAUAGUAAGAGAGAGACAAACAACUAUGAAUAAAAACCAGCCACAGCAUACUUCAAUAAAAGUUGCAAGACCAUAGUCAUUUUCUCUGUCAGUAUGUCUUAAUGUAUUGGGCUCACAUAUUCUGUGAUGCUGUGGGUGACAUGAUGUCCAGGUGCCAAGAUGAAAAGAAGGGGAUGGUCCUGGAGAGCCUGCUAGACUGUGAGGAGAGAGGGUUCUGGAAGGCAAACCAUGUGAUGCUACGAGAGUGGAUCUGAUAGCCAAUAUGGCUGUUCAGUGGCUAGUAGGCCAGUGGGAGUAUACACACAGUGGACAUGAUAGACCAACGGAUGGUCCCUGGUUCCUGGUUCCUGCUGGUGAGUGUGUAUGGAUCUUGCCAGUAUUAAUGUAAUCACAUUCCCCAGAAUAAGUUGUUUAGUUCUGAAAUUUUCCACUUAAUAUUUUAGAUUGUGGUUGAAUAGAAGUAACUGAAAUCAAAGAAAGCUCAAGGGAGGGCUAUUAUAAUAUUUUAUUAACAUCGUGUAUUAAAAGAUUUAAAAUUAGUUUUAAAAAUCCAUGAAAACCAAAGCAUCAAACUUUUAAGCAGAAAGACGUCAAUCUUGGAUCUGUGGCCUCUGAAAGCAACUGCCUUCUGCCUAAUGUGCCUGAUCUUCAGGAUUAACUCUUUUGAGGCCAGUGCUGCCUGUGGCUCUUAGAAUCCAGACUUCUGAGAGCUCCACAGUAGCUCAGCUGUGAGAGGCUGGGAUGCACCCAUGCCCUCUGCUUUGAAGGAUGAAAGGAGAGAAGGGCAUUUAGCUGCAGAGAAGACUGGGAUGCAAUCUGGAAGGAAGUUACCUGCAAGUGAACAGGCGAGACUCUGCCAAGGGGCCCCAACAUCUGCUUCCCUGCAUCUAUCUAUGGGACUCUUACUGUGGCUCACUUUUGUACAGAAAUGUAAGGAACUAUGGAUUGAUGCUGUAAAUGCUGUCAUCGAUGCUGUAAAUGAAGCUAUGCUGUCGUCGAGGACACGGUGAGCCAGUGUUUCCCACUCCAGACAUCAGGAGUCCUCUCUGCUGGUGACCUUUGUGACUUCCAGGUCCAGUCCAGUCUUCUCAGUCAUCUUCACAAUCAUCUAGUCUGAGAGGUCUUUCCCUCAAGCACACAUUUGAGACCUGUGUGCUGAGCUGUGGUGUAGCCGCACAGUCUUGAAUUUUCAACUAGCAUCAGCACACAUUCAAAGUUAAGUUGUACCAAAAGGCCAGAGUGAAGUGGGCAUUGCAAAUGGGUCCGUUUUCUCCAGGGCCAGUCUCACCUCUAGGCUGCGGUCACCCUUACUUCUUUUGGAUCUUUCCUCCCUUAUUUAGUUCCUCAGUACAUAGUAGGUGUAUGCAUGGUUUCAUCAUUUAUUUUUUGCUUUGUUCAUUCAUUCUUCCAUUCAUUUACCUUGUUAUGGCAAAUAUGACUUAACUUCCUCAUGUCCUUUCUGCCCCCUUUCCCUCCCUCUUCUCCACUAGCUAUCUUGCCAUUGAAUAAAAGCAACUAUUGAGUCCAGUUGUACCUUGGCGUUCAUUCUCCUUUAUCCAAUGCUCGUUUUCCCUCAAAUUAAAUGUCCCCUUUCUUGUUGCCUGAUGCCUUUUGUCUAGGACCCUUCCUUCCAAAUCGUUAGUGUCUGUCUCCUUUCCUUCACAUGUGUCUGCCUCAUUCAUGUCCUCUAUUCUGGUUUGGAGCUGCAGUUUGCUGGGGUUGACACCCAGGCAUGUCUUAGAGCACCGAGCCUCUUCAUGCCACAGCCCCUUUCCUGCUCCCCUCCGUUAAGUUCUACAUGCUCUGGAUCUCUUUUCUUCCCCCUCCUUGGUUUGGGCCCUUGUUUCAGUGGCACACUGCCUUCCAGAGCACCUGAGGACAGAACACCCUGGCAGCAGCACUUGUAGAUCUUGUCAGCCUGAAGAUGUCUUAUACUUGAAUGGUGUUUCAGAGCACAGAACUGUGGGGUAGAAAACAUUUAUCCCUAUAUUUUCUUUUGUUUAUUUGAACUUUUGACACAGGGUAUCACAUUGUAGCCCAUGAGGGUCUUGUCUUCUGAUCCUCCUGCCAAAUGCUGGGAGUGAAGGGGCCAUCAUGGCUGGCUUCAAAGUGCUGGCAUAGCUCUCCGUUAAGCCCAGAGUCAUCUUGCUUUUGUGAUUCCUGGGCCUGGACAGCUGUGAGGCCUCAGAAGAUCCUCAAGUCUGGUUAUAUAGAUUUGCGUUUGCAAUCUCCUCUGCUCACUGUUC
rnacentral:sRNA from 1 species